UGGGGAAUAUUGCACAAUGGGCGAAACCCUGAUGCAGCGACGCCGCGUGAGCGAUGAAGCCCUUCGGGGUGUAAAGCUCUUUCGACCCGGAAGAUAGUGACGGUACGGGGAGAAGAAGCUGCGGCUAACUACGUGCCAGCAGCCGCGGUAAUACGUAGGCAGCGAGCGUUGUUCGGAGUUACUGGGCGUAAAGCGUGCGUAGGCGGUGAUCCAAGUCUGGUGUGAAAUCUCCCGGCUCAACCGGGAGGGUGCGCCGGAAACUGGAUUGCUAGAGUGCGGGAGAGGCAAGCGGAAUUCCCGGUGUAGCGGUGAAAUGCGUAGAGAUCGGGAGGAACACCUGCGGUGUAGACGGCUUGCUGGACCGCCACUGACGCUGAGGCACGAAAGCGUGGGGAGCAAA
rnacentral:rRNA from 1 species